GGUCUCAUGGUGCAUCGGUUAGCACACGGCCCUUUCAAGGCCGGGAGGGGGGUUCAACUCCCCCUGAGACCGCCA
rnacentral:tRNA from 1 species